GCCAGUUUAGUAUAGUGGUUUGAGCAUUCAACUAUGAUUCUGGAGUCCAGGGUUCAAUUCCUUGCUCAGCCA